GAUGAACGCUGGCGGCGUGCUUAACACAUGCAAGUCGAACGGAAAGGCCCAAGCUUGCUUGGGUACUCGAGUGGCGAACGGGUGAGUAACACGUGGGUGAUCUGCCCUGCACUUCGGGAUAAGCCUGGGAAACUGGGUCUAAUACCGGAUAGGACCACAUUUUGGAUGGGGUGGUGGAAAGUUUUUCGGUGUGGGAUGAGCUCGCGGCCUAUCAGCUUGUUGGUGGGGUAAUGGCCUACCAAGGCGUCGACGGGUAGCCGGCCUGAGAGGGUGUACGGCCACAUUGGGACUGAGAUACGGCCCAGACUCCUACGGGAGGCAGCAGUGGGGAAUAUUGCACAAUGGGCGCAAGCCUGAUGCAGCGACGCCGCGUGGGGGAUGACGGCCUUCGGGUUGUAAACUCCUUUCGCUAGGGACGAAGCGCAAGUGACGGUACCUGGAGAAGAAGCACCGGCUAACUACGUG
rnacentral:rRNA from 1 species